GCUGGGCAUGGUGGCUCAUGCCUGUAAUCCCAGUAGUUUGGGAGGCCAAGGUGGGCGGAUCACUAGAGGUCAGGAGUUCGAGACCAGCCUGACCAACAUGGUGAAACCCCAUCUUUA
rnacentral:SRP_RNA from 1 species